GGGGAGAGUUUGAUCCUGGCUCAGAUUGAACGCUGGCGGCAUGCCUUACACAUGCAAGUCGAACGGUAACGGGCCUUCGGGUGCCGACGAGUGGCGAACGGGUGAGUAAUACAUCGGAACGUACCGUGUAGUGGGGGAUAACGUAGCGAAAGUUACGCUAAUACCGCAUACGAUCCACGGAUGAAAGCAGGGGACCUUCGGGCCUUGUGCUAUACGAGCGGCCGAUGUCUGAUUAGCUAGUUGGUGAGGUAAAGGCUCACCAAGGCGACGAUCAGUAGCGGGUCUGAGAGGAUGAUCAGCCACACUGGGACUGAGACAGGGCCCAGACUCCUACGGGAGGCAGCAGUGGGGAAUAUUGGACAAUGGGCGAAAGCCUGAUCCAGCCAUGCCGCGUGAGUGAUGAAGGCCCUAGGGUUGUAAAGCUCUUUCAGUGGGGAAGAUAAUGACGGUACCCACAGAAGAAGCCCCGGCUAACUUCGUGCCAGCAGCCGCGGUAA
rnacentral:rRNA from 1 species